ACCAUGGUGGUUCAGUGGUAGAAUUCUCACCUUCCAUAUGGGAGAUCUGGGUUCAAUUCCUGGCCAAUGCA
rnacentral:tRNA from 1 species